UUCACACCCCUGAUGUAAAUACCACGGAUGAGGACAGUAUGCAUGGUGGCUGACCUGCCAUCCCAGUGCGGGCGAGUCCUGGGUCUGGGAAAGGAGUUCGAGUGUUCCUGACGUCGGAGUCCACGUUCUCUACUGCUCUCCGAUAGCACCUCGUCAAAGAUGAGUCAGGCAGCUUCUCUGCAAGUUCAACGGGGAAGCCAAUGAAACCAAAGAGCAGGUGUGGGAUAAUGAAAGAAUAUCGCACAUUCCGAGCCAUUCGAGUCACACAGCCUCAGAGAGGGAUCGACGACCUUGCAUUUUGCACCGAUACCCAGAGAAGGGGUUGUGACUUGCCUGGAGCCGCACAGCAAGAACACAUCGGUUACAACUCACCUUUGUACCUGGAGUCUUUCUGGAAAGGAGGAAAUGCCAGAUGAAUAUGGGAAAUCAAGUUGAGGCAAAGAAGCCAUGGGGUUCAAUAUAAU